UGACAGGGAGACAGGUGUGCAUGGUUGUCGUCAGCUCGUGUCGUGAGAUGUUGGGUUAAGUCCCGCAACGAGCGCAACCCCUACGUUUAGUUGCUAACGCGUGAAGGCGAGCACUCUAGACGAACUGCCGUUGACAAAACGGAGGAAGGUGGGAUGACGUCAAAUCAUCAUGCCCCUUAUGUUCUGGGCUACACACGUGCUACAAUGGCCGGUACAGACGGACGCAAAGCCGCGAGGUGGAGCAAAUCCUAAAAAGCCGGUCUCAGUUCGGAUUGCAGGCUGCAAUUCGCCUGCAUGAAGUCGGAAUCGCUAGUAAUCGCAGGUCAGCAUACUGCGGUGAAUACGUUCCCGGGCCUU
rnacentral:rRNA from 1 species